CGCUGAGUUUGAUCCUGGCUCAGGAUGAACGCUAGCGGCAGGCUUAACACAUGCAAGUCGAGGGGUAUAGUUCUUCGGAACUAGAGACCGGCGCACGGGUGCGUAACGCGUAUGCAAUCUACCUUUCACAGAGGGAUAGCCCAGAGAAAUUUGGAUUAAUACCUCAUAGUAUUAUGAUAAGGCAUCUUAUUAUAAUUAAAGUCACAACGGUGAAAGAUGAGCAUGCGUCCCAUUAGCUAGAUGGUAAGGUAACGGCUUACCAUGGCAACGAUGGGUAGGGGUCCUGAGAGGGAGACUCCCCACACUGGUACUGAGACACGGACCAGACUCCGUACGGGAGCAGCAGUGAGG
rnacentral:rRNA from 1 species